UACGUAGGUGGCAAGCGUUACUCGGAAUUACUAGGCGUAAAGCGCAGGUAGGUGGUUGGAUAAGUCCGUAAUGAAAUCUCCCGGCUUAACUGGGAGGGGUUUGGGGAUACUGUCUGACUUGAGUGCAGGAGAGGUAACUGGAAUUCCCGGUGUAGCGGUGAAAUGCGUAGAGAUCGGGAGGAACACCUAAGGCGAAAGCAGGUUACUGGCCUAAUACUGACACUGAGCUGCGAAAGCUAGGGGAGCAAACAGG
rnacentral:rRNA from 1 species